rnacentral:rRNA from 1 species
AUUGAACGCUGGCGGCAGGCCUAACACAUGCAAGUCGAACGAGUGGCGGACGGGUGAGUAAUAUCUGGGAAACUGACCGAUGGAGGGGGAUCACUAAUGGAAACGGUAGCUAAUAACGCAUAGCAUCGUAGGUGCCCAGAUGGGCUUAGCUAGUCGGUGGGGUAAUGGCUCACAUGGGCGACGAUCCCUAGCUGGUCUGGGAGGAUGACCGGCCACACUGGAACUGAGACACGGUCCAGACUCCUACGGGAGGCAGCAGUGGGGAAUAUUGCACAAUGGGCGAAAGCCUGAUGCAGCCAUGCCGCGUGUAUGAAGAAGGCCUUCGGGUUGUAAAGUACUUUCGGCGGGGAGGCGUUACCCGCAGAAGAAGCACCGGCUAACUCCGUGCCAGCAGCCGCGGUAAUAC